rnacentral:rRNA from 1 species
GGCAGAGGGUGCAAACGUUGUUCGGAAUUACUGGGCGUAAAGCGCGUGUAGGCGGCUAUGUAAGUCGGGCGUGAAAUCCCACGGCUCAACCGUGGAAGUGCACCCGAAACUGCGUAGCUAGAGUCCUGGAGAGGAAGGUGGAAUGCUUGGUGUAGAGGUGAAAUUCGUAGAUAUCAAGCGGAACACCGGUGGCGAAGGCGGCCUUCUGGACAGCGACUGACGCUGAGACGCGAAAGCGUGGGGAGCAAACAGG